UACGGGGGGAGCAAGCGUUGUUCGGAUUUACUGGGCGUAAAGGGCGCGUAGGCGGCCACCGCAGGUCAGUUGUGAAAUCUCUGGGCUUAACCCAGAAAGGUCAACUGAUACUGCGGGGCUAGAGUGCAGAAGGGGCAACUGGAAUUCUCGGUGUAGCGGUGAAAUGCGUAGAUAUCGAGAGGAACACCUGCGGCGAAGGCGGGUUGCUGGGCUGACACUGACGCUGAGGCGCGAAAGCUAGGGGAGCGAACGGG
rnacentral:rRNA from 1 species